rnacentral:rRNA from 1 species
GUGGACGCCAGUCUGCGUGGAGCCGACCUUGAAAUACCACCCUUUAAUGUUUGAUGUUCUAACGUGGACCCGUAAUCCGGGUUGCGGACAGUGUCUGGUGGGUAGUUUGACUGGGGCGGUCUCCUCCUAAAGAGUAACGGAGGAGCACGAAGGUUGGCUAAUCCUGGUCGGACAUCAGGAGGUUAGUGCAAUGGCAUAAGCCAGCUUGACUGCGAGCGUGACGGCGCGAGCAGGUGCGAAAGCAGGUCAUAGUGAUCCGGUGGUUCUGAAUGGAAGGGCCAUCGCUCAACGGAUAAAAGGUACUCCGGGGAUAACAGGCUGAUACCGCCCAAGAGUUCAUAUCGACGGCGGUGUUUGGCACCUCGAUGUCGGCUCAUCACAUCCUGGGGCUGAAGUAGGUCCCAAGGGUAUGGCUGUUCGCCAUUUAAAGUGGUACGCGAGCUGGGUUUAGAACGUCGUGAGACAGUUCGGUCCCUAUCUGCCGUGGGCGCUGGAGAACUGAGGGGGGCUGCUCCUAGUACGAGAGGACCGGAGUGGACGCAUCACUGGUGUUCGGGUUGUCAUGCCAAUGGCACUG